rnacentral:rRNA from 1 species
GUGCCAGCAGCCGCGGUAAUUCCAGUUUCCAAUAGCGUAUAUUAAAGUUGUUGUGGUUAAGGAAGCUCGUAGUUGAACCUUGGGCCUGGCUGGCCGGUCCGCCUCACCGCGUGCACUGGUCCGGCCGGGCCUUUCCCUCUGUGGAACCCCAUACCCUUCACUGGGCGUGGCGGGGAAACAGGACAUUUACUUUGAAAAAAUUAGAGUGCUCCAGGCAGGCCUAUGCUCUAAUACAUUAGCAUGGAAUAAUAAAAUAGGACGCGCGGUUCUAUUUUGUUGGUUUAUAGGACCGCCGGAAUGAUUAAGAGGGACAGUCGGGGGCAUCAGUAUUCAAGUGUCAGAGGUGAAAUUCUUGGAUCAGAUGAAGACGAACUACUGCGAAAGCUUUUGCCGAAGGGAGUUUUCAUUAAUCAGGAACGUAAGUUAGGGGAUCGAAGAAGAGCAGAUACCGUCGAAUCUUAACCACAAAGAUAUGGCAGAA